UAUUGAUGGUGCGAACAGUCCUUGAGAAGAGAUUUGAACCUCUCCUAUGCAUAAAAUAGGUUCUCAUCUAGCUUUUGUUGAAAACUCAGAAUGUCACUCCUUAAUCU
rfam:Capsicum annuum cultivar Zunla-1 chromosome 5, whole genome shotgun sequence